UACGUAGGGAGCAAGCGUUGUCCGGAAUCAUUGGGCGUAAAGCGCGCGUAGGUGGCUCCGUAAGUCCGUUGUGAAAGUCAAAGGCUCAACCUUUGAAAGCCGAUGGAUACUGUGAAGCUAGAGUACGGAAGAGGCGAGUGGAAUUCCUGGUGUAGCGGUGGAAUGCGCAGAUAUCAGGAGGAACACCAAUAGCGAAGGCAGCUCGCUGGGACGUUACUGACACUGAGGCGCGAAAGCGUGGGGAGCGAACAGG
rnacentral:rRNA from 1 species